rnacentral:rRNA from 1 species
AGAAACAGCCUAAAUACCCUAAAGGCACAACAUUCCAUCUGAUCUUGUAAGUUAAGGAGGGUUAGCCCUGGUUAGUACUUGGAUGGGAAACUGGCAACAAAUAUCAGGUGCAGUAGGCU